GGAAGAAAUAGCAUUGAAAAAUCGCAAAAAUUACAGAAAAAUGUCCUGGGUUCAAAAUCCGAAAACUGCUUGAAUUGGUAUUCAACGCGACAUGACAUUGAAAGAAAUUCUGGUCCUUCACUACGAGACCGGGAUUUUUGUGGGAAUGGUUCUGUUUUCAAUUACAAUUGGAAUAUUGCUUGUGUGGAUAGUUCUGACCUGCAGGGAUGUAGCAAAUCUAUCUCUUGUCCUUCGCUUGUGGAGGUUACACCCUUUCAGUUGAAAAAUACCACCACACUUGGAACAUAUGAUAAAAUUUGUCAAAUGAGUCGUUUGGAUCGAACACAUCUCUUUAUUAAAAUGGAAAUAGAGACUGAAAAUGCUUUGCGUGAUAAGGAGCAAGAGAAAAAGUUGUUGUUGAAGAAAAUUAAGAACAAAAAAUCAAAAAAGAGGAAUUUUCUUCGUAAGAUUAGAAAAUUCCUGGUUCCGAAUUGCUGUCGUUCCGGUGAAUCUAAUAACUUACGUCGACUUGAGGAGAAACUUAUGGAUAUCCAAGAAAAACUUGAUUGUUUGCAUGAAUUGUUACCCCUAUAUAGGAUUUUCCUCAAAAAACUUGACGAGGAAAUUUACGAAGAGUGUGAUAACUACUUUAUAACUGUCCCUAUGGUUUUGUAAGA